ensembl:lncRNA
GGGAAAGGAUCCCCCCUCCACACACACACACACAGACUGCUGCACUUCAUCCCUUCCACCUGCCUCCAUCGCUCCUAUUUCUCCCAGUGUCAUCACUCCACCUGUAUCUUAUUCCCUCUCACUCCAUCCAUCCAGCCAUCCUUCUUUUUUUCUCUCCAGCCCCCACGCCCUUCUAACCCACACACUCUGUGUCACCACCGUGGUCAAGAAAAUGAUCAGCCAACAAGCUGGAAGAGGUAGAGGAGAGGAAAAAGAGUGGAGAAAGAGAGGAAGAGUGAACUCUGUCCAUUUAAGAUACUCCAAACGUUCCAGUUUCCUCUAUGGAUUAUCCAGAGCCCCAUGGACGUAUGGAGGAGUGGAGGAGAAAAGAAAAAGACGAAUAGAGAAGAGAGAAAAAAGGAAUUGCACUCCGGACAGCCAGUCCGUGUGACGGGUAUAUAUAUAAAAACUCAAAUCAUUUCCUAACAACUUCUGCUUCUAAAUGUCCCUUUGGCAUUUUUCAUUUCGGUUUAAUCUCUUUCCCUCUCUUUCUCUAUCUCUUUUCCCUCCUUCCCUCUCUCCUGUCUCCAGCCCUGCAGGCUGUGUUUGGGACUCUGGCUAAUUGUGGAGUAUUCUCAGGACUCCAGCAGAGGAACGAGAGAGACCCACUCUAUCUUUCUUUCCAUUCUAAUUAAUUCCCCUCUGUGCAGACACUCAAAGAGAUUUUCUCUCCUUCCUUCGCUCUCUCUCUCUCCUUCUCUCCAUCCGGCGACUUGAGAGCAGAAUAAUUGGGAGUGGAGAUUGGCUUUUCUGUGAGCUCUCCCAAUCCUUCACACACCUGGUUGUGUGCGAGUGUGUGUGUGGAUGAGUGUGUCUCUGACUUAUCCCUAGGGGCUUUGGGUGGGGGUGUACCACACUAGUGUGAACUGGGCAUGACAGAAAAAUGAGAAAAGGAAAGAGGGAGUGAGAGAAAAAGGUAGUACAGUAGAGCACUAAUCCGGUAGAAGUAUUUCCCUGAGAAGGGGUGUGAGGGGAGAAAAGAAGGAAAGUACUGCUUUCACUUGAAGCCCAACCAGUGAUGUGGAUGGACAGAGUGAGCAAAUAAACGACAAGACAGAGAAGAGGAGAGAAGAGACGAGGAGAAAAGACAUCGGCCCCUUCACAACAUCAGCAAGUCACCCAGACUGAGAAGAAUGCACAAGACAGAAGUCAAUUGACGAACAAACAAAUUCUCAUACUGUCAGCCCCUUCAACCUCUUUGCUUUCUGGUCUGUCUCUCUCUUAGGGCAAAGUGCCAAAUACACACACACACACACACACACACACACACACACACGCACACACACACACACGCACACGCACACACACACGCACACACACACACGCACACGCACACACACACGCACACACUCACUCACACACUCACUCACACACAAAAGAACAGAAUGAGAGAAACCUGGCUUCGUCUGGGACCCUUUUUUUCAGGAUUUUUUGUUUUUAGCACCCAUUUAUUUUUUCCCUCUUUGCCCUCUUCACUCUCCUCCAUCUCUCCUCCAUCUCUUCACUCUCCUCCAUCUCUCCUCCAUCUCUUCACUCUCCUCCAUCUCUUCACUCUCCUCCAUCUCUCCUCCAUCUCUUCACUCUCCUCCAUCUCUUCACUCUCCUCCAUCUCAUCAUUCUCCUCCAUCUCUCCUCCAUCUCUUCACUCUCCUCCAUCUCUUCACUCUCCUCCAUCUCAUCAUUCUCCUCCACCUCUCCUCCAUCUCUUCACUCUCCUCCAUCUCUUCACUCUCCUCCAUCUCAUCAUUCUCCUCCACCUCUCCUCCAUCUCUUCACUCUCCUCCAUCUCUUCACUCUCCUCCAUCUCUUCUCCAUCUCUUCACUCUCCUCCAUCUCUCCUCCAUCUCUUCACUCUCCUCCAUCUCUUCACUCUCCUCCAUCUCUCCACUCUCCUCCAUCUCUCCUCUCCUCCAUCUCUCCUCAAUCUCUCCUCUCCCCCAAUCUCUCCUCUCCUCAAUCUCUCCUCUACUCCAUCUCUCCUCUCCCCCAUCUCUCCUCUAUUCCAUCUCUCCUCAAUCUCUCCUCUACUCAAUCUCUCCUCUACUCAAUCUCUCCUCUCCUCCAUCUCUCCUCUCCUCCAUCUCUCCUCUCCUCCAUCUCUCCUCUCCUCCAUCUAUCCUCUACUCCAUCUCUCCUCCAUCUCUCCUCAAUCUCUCCACUCCUCCAUCUCUCCACUCCUCCAUCUCUCCACUCCUCCAUCUCUCCACUCCUAUAUCUCUCCACUCCUAUAUCUCCCCUCAAUCUCUCCUCUACUCCAUCUCUCCUCUACUCAAUCUCUCCUCUACUCCAUCUCUUCUGUCCUCCAUCUCUUCUGUCCUCCAUCUCUUCUCUCCUCCAUCUCUCUACUCCUAUGUCUCUCCUCCAUCUCUCCUCUCCUCCAUCUCUCCAUCUCUCCACAUAGGCUAUAAGAACACCAUAUAUCUUCCAUACAACCCCUUCUCUCUCUCUCUCUCUAUCACUCUUUCCAAUCCCCCCUCCUCACACCUCCCUUCUUUUUCUCUUUGCCUGCUGCUCCCUCACUUGCCCGGUCUCAUUGUCUUCACACACAGCCGGAGUGUUUUAGUGUGAGUGUGUGUACGGCGUAACCAACCCAUUCUGCAGUGGAGCCGCGGAGCACAGGGGGAGCCUGAGUUACUACAUGUCUUAGUCAGACCACGCCCCAGUUCACCUUCACCUGUUUUUGCAGUCUGCACGGCUUCUGCCGGAGACGGAGGAAAAAGAAAAAGCAGAAAGGGGAGGAACAGGAUGAGAUGCAGGAGAAACGGAGGGAUCAGGAGACUGAGGUGUGAAGGAAGACUGGAGCGACUUCACCCUCCUCUUCAUUCUCUCAGAGACGAUUGUGACGGCAUUCUAAUUUCUACAUCCAGAUCAUUUUCUUCACGCUGUUAUGCGUCUCUCCUCCACCUGCAGCAGCUGUUCAAUCAGCAGCUUCACUGGAGUGCAUAGGUAUAGGUCAAAGCUCAAAACUAACGUUCUUUACUAUCUCCUACACCACGGAGACACACGUGCGCACACACACACGUGCACACACACACACGCAUUAAUUAAAGUCCUGUGUAGGUCUAUGAAUGCCAGUGGGGUGUAGGGACACCUAUCACCUGUUUAUGAUGAAAGUAGUGAAUGUGAUUGUGUGUGCACUGAGACUUCAUUGCAGCGGGACCACAGAGAGUUGCAGGACUGCACCUACCAGUUAAGAUAAGCAUAUGCUGCAGAAUGAAUGCCCUUUACACGCACAUGCACGCAAGCACACAUGCACGCAAACACACACACACGCAGGUCUCAUUAGCCUGUGUAAUUAUGCAUGGCACGUCCAGUUGGCCAGUGGAGAAGUAAUUAACCUUUUCCAGCAGGAAACAGCAAUCUGGACGUCUGACACACUCACAUGCACGCACACACGUCUGGUGUCACGGAAAUAAAGUGUCAAAGACAGCGGCUGGCAUUCAAUGAUAAUCCCCUCACGCAUAUUUCUGUCCAAGGCUUAAAACACUAAUAAUGCCAAAUUACCUCUCCUCUCCCUUCAUCUUCCCUCCUUUCUCUUUCUCCCUCUUCUUGUCCCCAAGUCCUUCUCUGUCUUUCUCUCUGCUUAACUCUGUCUGUCUGUCUGUCUGUCUGUCUGUCUGUCUGUCUGUCUGUCUGUCUGUCUGUCUGUCUGUCUGUCUGUCUGUCUGUCUGUCUGUCUGUCUGUCUGUCUGUCUGUCUGUCUGGCUACGAAACCUCUUUUCUCCACCACUCUCCCUGUCUCCCUCCCUGUCUCCCUCUCCUUUCUCCCCUCUCUCAAUCAAUUUGCCCACAUCCCUCUCUCUCCUGCUCUUUAUCUCUCAGUAAAACACAUGUUCUCUGGGCAGUGAGCAUGGCCUUGCCUGGCUGGCAGCACCCAUAGAUUAACACCAGCACUCUGACUCUCACUCAGGGAGCCCUCUCGCCAAGAACACAACAGCUGCUUUACAGUUGAAGGAGUAGGAUGCCUGUGUGUGUAUGUGUGUGUGUGUGUGUGUGUGUGUGUGUGUGUGUGUGUUUAUAAGAAUAGAUUAAGCGAUAGGGUUGAUUGUGUAUUUAUCCAUUCUACCAUUGAGGGAAAGUGAAAUGGGAUAACACAAAGCCAUUUCACAGACAGGAGCAGAUAUGAGUCACCAUGCUACAGAAAGACUUUUCAACCAGAAAGAGAGGGAGAGGGGGAGAGAGAGAACAGUUAAUGAGAGAGGGAUGAAAAUGGAAGAGGGAGCUAAUACUCGGCAGUCAUGCUAAUUGGCUACAUUUGCUAACUCUCUGAGGCGAGAGGAUCCCGGCAUUACAUUCGUUUAAUGCUCCCUCCAUCACGUUAAAGAAAGGAUUCGCUUGAAUAAUGAAGAGGAGCUGAAAUGAAUAACAGUUUGUUAUUAUCUGUGGGAGGGUUGUUUUUCACCUGAGUGACUAUGUGUAGACUUCUAUGGAUCAUAUCCAUGCUCACCGAGCCUUACUCAAGGACAAACAGCUAAAAAUAGAGGGGAGUACGCGACCACUAUAAUAGCAGGAGCAAAGGAAGGAAGGGAGAGGGAGAGAGAACGAGUGCUGUCAGAUUAGAUUCGGGUCAGAAAAGAUGGGAAGAGCAAGUGAGGCAGAGGGUGUUUCAUACGGAGGAGAUUAAUCACUCUCUCUCCCUUUGUCUCACUGCUGCUUUCUCUCCCUCUCUUUCUUCCUUUGUCUCUCUCUCUCGCAUUCUCUUUGUCCCUCUCUCCCUCUCUCUCUCUACUCAAUACCACACUAUUGCACACCUGCAAGAUGGGGGGGGGAAGUGGGGAGGAAGAGAGACAAUUAAACUGAUCUAUAGUGGAAUAAGGAGAAAGAGGAAACCCUCAAUUUCACUCCUCAUCACCUUCUCCUCUCUCCUCCUCUCCUCAUCACCUUCUCCUCUCUCCUCCUCUCCUCAUCACCUUCUCCUCUCUCCUCCUCUCCUCAUCACCUUCUCCUCUCUCCUCCUCUCCUCAUCACCUUCUCCUCUCUCCUCCUCUCCUCAUCACCUUCUCCUU